GAGAGGAAGCAGGAAAGAGUUAUGUCUUUUUGGAUAGGGAUACGUGAGGACAAGAUAUAGCUACUAGAGUCUCCCGGUUUCAAUGGCGGUACUGUCAGGAUUCACCACUAGAGGCUUUAGAUUUAACAAGCCUUAUGAGAUUAGGAUUUUAGUUGUUACCAUUGUUUCUGAACUAAGUCUGUGUUGCGUUUUUCCUUCACAGUGGCUCAUCUGGGUUCAAGAGAGAAAGGUAGAACUUUGCAUGGGGACACGGCAUACCACGAUAAAGGACUCGAAGAGACCGCCUUUACAACUCCAGGGAAAGCUGUUGACACAGACUCCUGGUUCUGCUUGACAUCUUUCUUCUCAGAUAGAAGCUCCUGGACUUCCAGACCGGCUCCAGUGGAGUCACGGGAAGGAAGAAGAGGAAAUUGUAAACCACGAGGCAUCAUGCCAGAGGAAAUGCCUCCGGUGACCCAGACUGAAUGCCCUAUGGUCUCAAAGACCCCACAUUCAAACUGCACGAUGUCUGGGUGUGCUUGACUCCAAGUCUCAGGCAGGGGCUAUCCUCUGUCUCUGCUUUUCCAUACCAUGCUCUCUGCUGUAUAUCUUCCUUAAGCUGCGUAAUAAAGAAUGAUAAGGGCUUCA
rnacentral:lncRNA from 1 species